rnacentral:rRNA from 1 species
AUUGAACGCUGGCGGCAUGCCUUACACAUGCAAGUCGAACGGCAGCACGGACUUCGGUCUGGUGGCGAGUGGCGAACGGGUGAGUAAUGUAUCGGAACGUACCUUUCAGUGGGGGAUAACGUAGCGAAAGUUACGCUAAUACCGCAUAUUCUGUGAGCAGGAAAGCAGGGGGAUCGCAAGACCUUGCGCUGAUUGAGCGGCCGAUAUCAGAUUAGCUAGUUGGUGAGGUAAAGGCUCACCAAGGCGACGAUCUGUAGCGGGUCUGAGAGGAUGAUCCGCCACACUGGAACUGAGACACGGUCCAGACUCCUACGGGAGGCAGCAGUGGGGAAUUUUGGACAAUGGGGGCAACCCUGAUCCAGCCAUGCCGCGUGAGUGAAGAAGGCCUGG